GCUGGUGAGGCACUUGGAUACAUACUGAUGCUGCAAGUUCAGGGGAUUUUUCUUACUCUUAGGUUUAACCAAGAACACUGAGCAGGGAAAAACCCUGCCUUUCCUAACUGCAUGUAUUUUUUCCUUUUUGGAAAGGUGGUAGAGACUCAGAAGCUUUCCUUGUUUUCUUCAGGCCUGCUCCCAGUUUUCUUAACAGUUUCUUUUGUUGCUUUCUCUCUCCCUUGUUGCUUUCCAUGGCAGUAAUCCUCCUAGAGUCCAAGCAGUCUGUUGUAUGGAGCAGGGUGUGUGGGUUUUCUGGGCCCAUCAUUAUGGCUGCUUCAGAGUCAGAAGAAAGCCAUAGGGCAGUAGGGGAGCUCCUAUUGCCUAGCCCCUCUCCCUUUGUGGCUCCCACUCUAGCUGCCUAUUUUUGCUCAUCAGCUGGUGAGUCAGUAUGGGCCAGCAGUUCUCCCUCCCUAAGCCCUUGCUACUUUAUGGGUUAGCUUUGCAGGUUUGGUGGCUUGAGGGGUGGGGGCAACUCACCACUGCCAGGUAACUCCCUGAAGGGUGGGAGUGGAUUAUCUUCUAGGCUCUUACCCGCGGUAGGGAAGGGCAUCAACACUGUCUUCCUUCCAUUCUCCUUUCCCCCAUCCCAUUUAGUGCUGCCACAGGGCAGAAGCACACAAACCAACCACACAGUCUCUGACUUCUCCUAAGCACUUUGAGUUGUUGAAUGGGGCUCAGGGGCAAGAGUUUUUGCUGCCCUCCCCAGCGUGGUCACAGGGUUAUUGAACUGCCUGCACUUGUUUCUCAUGCAACUCCAGCAUUUUCCCCAGAAGUUGAACUAUGGAUAGCAGCUUGGUAUGGAUUUCCUAAAUCUUAACAUUUGAAGCAGCUUCUUGAGGCUGGCAACUAUCCUGGUUUCUGUCUUGGAGGGGGUGGUUUGUUUGCUGGGGCCCAACGUCUGUCCCAAGUGGUGGGGUGAGAGUAAGUUAACUUUGGUGCCAGGUGAGAGGUGGGGGCUCUUUGCUUAGACUCCCUAUCAUGGAAAGAUUGGAGUUUUCUAUGCAGGGCACUGUGGAAAAGGAUUGCUGAUUCUGACUGACCCUGAUCAGAGAGAUUAGGAUUGUAUUUUGACAUAGGAUUUGGAACCCAUCUAAAUGUUGAAGUUCCCUGAGACAGCUCUCCAGCUGCUGAGCCUGCGCCAGGGGCUAAGCAGCCCCUAAUGAGAGGCUCUGCUCCCUUUCCCACCUCGCCAAUGUUGUUGUUGCUGCCUUUUUGAUUUGUAUCCUCUGUUAUAGACAUUUUUUAAAAACGAUUUCCUCUUUCAUUGUGCACAAGUGCUGAGAGUCUGAGGCCCCAUUUCUGCUGUGUAUAUAUAUCCUGACUCGGGGCUUUUAUUCAGCAAACUGUUCAUUCUUCUGUCAGACAAUGUCAUAUUCAACUCUGUUCAUAUUAAACCACUGUGAAGC
rnacentral:lncRNA from 1 species